rnacentral:rRNA from 1 species
AUACGGAGGGUGCAAGCGUUAAUCGGAAUUACUGGGCGUAAAGCGCGCGUAGGCGGAUAUUUAAGUCUCAUGUGAAAGCCCUGGGCUCAACCUGGGAACUGCAUGGGAUACUGGGUAUCUAGAAUACAGUAGAGGGUAGUGGAAUUUCAGGUGUAGCGGUGAAAUGCGUAGAGAUCUGAAGGAACAUCAGUGGCGAAGGCGACUACCUGGACUGAUAUUGACGCUGAGGUACGAAAGCGUGGGGAGCAAACGGGAUUAGAAACCCUAGUAGUCC